UGAGGAAUAUUGCACAAUGGGGGCAACCCUGAUGCAGCAACGCCGCGUGGAGGAUGAAGGUCUUUGGAUUGUAAACUCCUUUUUUCGGGGAAGAGGAAGGACGGUACCCGAAGAAUAAGUCACGGCUAACUACGUGCCAGCAGCCGCGGUAAUACGUAGGUGGCAAGCGUUAUCCGGAAUUACUGGGCGUAAAGGGCACGCAGGCGGCUGUCCAAGUCUGACGUGAAAGCUCCUGGCUUAACUGGGAGAGGUCGUUGGAAACUGGGCAGCUUGAGGUGAUGAGAGGGGUGCGGAAUUACCGGUGUAGUGGUGGAAUGCGUAGAUAUCGGUAGGAACACCAGUGGCGAAGGCGGCACCCUGGCAUUAACCUGACGCUCAUGUGCGAAAGCGUGGGGAGCGAACGGGAUUAGAUACCCCCGUAGUCC
rnacentral:rRNA from 1 species